ACGAACGCUGGCGGCAUGCCUAACACAUGCAAGUCGAACGAAGCCUUCGGGCUUAGUGGCGCACGGGUGCGUAACACGUGGGAAUCUGCCCUUAGGUACGGAAUAACUCAGGGAAACUUGAGCUAAUACCGUAUGAUGUCUUCGGACCAAAGAUUUAUCGCCUAAGGAUGAGCCCGCGUCGGAUUAGCUAGUUGGUGGGGUAAAGGCCUACCAAGGCGACGAUCCGUAGCUGGUCUGAGAGGAUGAUCAGCCACACUGGGACUGAGACACGGCCCAGACUCCUACGGGAGGCAGCAGUGGGGAAUAUUGGACAAUGGGCGAAAGCCUGAUCCAGCAAUGCCGCGUGAGUGAAGAAGGCCUUCGGGUUGUAAAGCUCUUUUACCCGGGAAGAUAAUGACUGUACCGGGAGAAUAAGCCCCGGCUAACUCCGU
rnacentral:rRNA from 1 species